AUUGCUUGGGUACAGAAGAACUCUGAACAAGAUCAAGGUUCUAUCAGUGAUAAAUAAGGGAGGCUAAGAGUAAAGAAGUAUAACUUGACAUUUCUUCUGCAAGAAAAAAACAAGAAGAUGGUGACUUUCAAGACCUCAGUCAAUGACUAAAGUUCUGUGACCACAGUGAGAAUUAUUUAGGUUUGGUGUUAUCUUCUUUGAAUGACCCUAAAAAGGGAGAAGUGGCGAUGAUGGAACUUCAGUGAAGGCUUUGCCUGGACUGGACAUCUCUUCAUACUCAGCAAUGGACAAUUCAUUUCCAAAGUGGUCCCUCUGAGGGAGAAAUGAGUUCUGGUGGCAGAGCGGCUGGUUGGCUGUCAGCCUUGGCCAUCAGUGAUGGUGAAAGCAACAGAUGUCAGAUGUCAGCCCCUGGCUUCCUGCCUUACCGUAGAGGGAUACUCGACAGACAGACUGGACAGAUCACUCAUGCUGGGGAAAGCCAGGUGUCAUGUCUUGGGGAAUCCAGGUGUUAUGUCUUAAGGACAGGCUGGCAGACCUGUGCAUACGCCCAUGUAGCGAGAAACUAGACCCUCAGCUCAAGACACUGAAAGAAACCUCAUGAAACAACUUGAAGCUCUGACCCUGAACCACCUAGCUAAACUGCUCUUAGAUACCUGAUUCUCAGAUACUAUUGAGAAAAUAAACAAUAAUUAUUUUA
rnacentral:lncRNA from 1 species